AGGAUACCGUCAUGUAGGCCUUGUAGCCCACAGUGUUUAUGCUUUUGACACGCCUAGUCUUGUGACACGCCCACUUCGAUUCCGCAGACACCCCUACUUGGUCAAGGUUGUUGCCCCUGCUGUCUCUCUGUUUUUCUGAAUUUACCACAGCACAAUGGUUCAUAAUAAAGUGAGAUGUUGCGUUGUUGGCUGCAUUACACCACAUGUGUCGAUGUAUACUCUUCCAGUCUCAGAGAACAGAGAUGCGUGKCUUUCUUUUAUUUAUAAUGGCAGUGUCCCUGCGACAUUACCGAAGAAAGUUAGAGUUUGCGCAGCUCAUUUCACAACAGAGUCCUUUCAAAACUUACAGCAGUACUUGACCCGAUUUGCACAAAAACUUCUGCUGAAGGAAGGUUCUGUUCCAUCUAUUCGACAACGUUCUGCAGAUGACGUUAAUGCUGUAACAUCUACAAGAAGAGACGUCGCUUGCCAAACCGAAAAUGAACAACAACAACAACAACGAACUGUGGCUACACAACUAUCUCUGCGAACUCUUCAGCCCAACUUCAGAUCCAAAGAUGUCAACGCUACUGUGUCAACCAAAGAAGUUGGAGUUGGCGUGCCAAAAAUUCCCUUCUCUGCACAUCACACAGUCGUCAUGUCUACUCCUAUAAAGACACCUGGUCUGGGAGGGCACGAGCUCAGUGUUGAUUCCUGAAGAGCUGGACCCCACCUAUGAUGCUGAUGCACCUGUCACUGACUAAUCCACAUCGGCAUGCAACAUUUGGUUAUGUUGAUGACUUGGUGUGUCUGAUUAUGGGAUCAGUCUUUCAAGAACCGGAACCAUAUCGUGUAGAGCUGCUCCAAAUACAAGUCCCUCCAGUCCUGGCUGCUGAGUAUGAUCAUCUAGAAAUGGAAGAGGUGAUCAGUAAGUUUGUCUCACGUUUCAACCAAUCAGAGGCAGUCUGAAGCCGAUGUACUGUCCUUGGCGGUCAGGAAACUCGAGACGAACCCGCAGGACGACACACGAGAGGAGAACUACUCUGAUCCUGCGUCCAAGAAAUCCCCAACACUAACUGAUGAAGCCUCCAUAGGCCAUAAACCUAUAACGACUGAAUGAAAUAAUUAUUAGUUUGUGUAAUAAAAAUUAUAUUUUAAAAAAA